rnacentral:tRNA from 1 species
GGGGGUAUAGCUCAGUGGUAGAGCACGUGCUUGGCAUACACAAGGUCCUGGGUUCAAUCCCCAGUGCCUCUG